UACGUAGGGUCCGAGCGUUGUCCGGAAUUAUUGGGCGUAAAGGGCUCGUAGGCGGUUUGUCGCGUCGGGAGUGAAAACACGGGGCUUAACCCCGUGCCUGCUUCCGAUACGGGCAGACUAGAGGUAUGCAGGGGAGAACGGAAUUCCUGGUGUAGCGGUGAAAUGCGCAGAUAUCAGGAGGAACACCGGUGGCGAAGGCAGCUCGCUGGGACGGUACUGACGCUGAGGCGCGAAAGCGUGGGGAGCAAACAGG
rnacentral:rRNA from 1 species